AGAGCGAACGCUGGCGGCGUGCUUAACACAUGCAAGUCGAGUGCGCGGUUGUAGCAAUACAACUGGCGCACGGCGCACGGGUGCGUAACACGUGGGCAAUCUGCCCUUCGAUGGGGAAUAACUUCGGGAAACCGAAGCUAAUUCCGCAUAACAUUCCAGAUACUACGGUCUUUGGAUUCAAAGGCGUAAGUCGUCGGAGGAGGAGCCCGCGCACGAUUAGCUAGUUGGUAGGGUAACGGCCUACCAAGGCUAUGAUCGUUAGC
rnacentral:rRNA from 1 species